rnacentral:lncRNA from 1 species
GGAAAUUCAAAUAGCAAAAGUUGAUGAUUCAUGAUGUCCAGUAUUCAUACACAUUCAUUAAAUGAGAACAAAUUGAAACUUAAUGGUUCAAACAAGCUUUACUUGAGGAUCUAUUGCAGAAAGUAUGAUUCAACAUCAGUAUACAAAGAUUUGAAUCUAAUUUAGUAAGGAUAUUACUCCUAGGAUGAACUGGAUGUAUUGGAUUCAAUACUGUAAUUGCCUCUACCCCACUGUAUGAUGUUUAGAAUUCUGCCUCUUCUUCCUUUUCUUGCGUGUAUGUCUCUGUCUCUUGCUCUCUGUCUCUGUCCCCCGUUUGCUUGGAAUUGUUGCUAUCUUUUU